GACGAACGCUGGCGGCGUGCUUAACACAUGCAAGUCGAACGAUGAAGCCUUCGGGUGGAUUAGUGGCGAACGGGUGAGUAACACGUGGGUGAUCUGCCCUGCACUUCGGGAUAAGCUUGGGAAACUGGGUCUAAUACCGGAUAGGACCAUGCCAUGCAUGUGGUGUGGUGGAAAGCUUUUGCGGUGUGGGAUGAGCCCGCGGCCUAUCAGCUUGUUGGUGGGGUGAUGGCCUACCAAGGCGUCGACGGGUAGCCGGCCUGAGAGGGUGUCCGGCCACACUGGGACUGAGAUACGGCCCAGACUCCUACGGGAGGCAGCAGUGGGGAAUAUUGCACAAUGGGCGCAAGCCUGAUGCAGCGACGCCGCGUGGGGGAUGACGGCCUUCGGGUUGUAAACCUCUUUCAGCACAGACGAAGCGUGAGUGACGGUAUGUGCAGAAGAAGCACCGGCCAACUACGUGCCAGCAGCCGCGGUAAUACGUAGGGUGCGAGCGUUGUCCGGAAUUACUGGGCGUAAAGAGCUUGUAGGUGGUUUGUCGCGUUGUUCGUGAAAUCUCACGGCUUAACUGUGAGCGUGCGGGCGAUACGGGCAGACUAGAGUACUGCAGGGGAGACUGGAAUUCCUGGUGUAGCGGUGGAAUGCGCAGAUAUCAGGAGGAACACCGGUGGCGAAGGCGGGUCUCUGGGCAGUAACUGACGCUGAGAAGCGAAAGCGUGGGGAGCGAACAGGAUUAGAUACCCUGGUAGUCCACGCCGUAAACGGUGGGUACUAGGUGUGGGUUUCCUUCCUUGGGAUCCGUGCCGUAGCUAACGCAUUAAGUACCCCGCCUGGGGAGUACGGCCGCAAGGCUAAAACUCAAAGGAAUUGACGGGGGCCCGCACAAGCGGCGGAGCAUGUGGAUUAAUUCGAUGCAACGCGAAGAACUUACCUGGGCUUGACAUGCACUAGAAACACCUAGAGAUAGGUGCCCCCUUGUGGUUGGUGUGCAGGUGGUGCAUGGCUGUCGUCAGCUCGUGUCGUGAGAUGUUGGGUUAAGUCCCGCAACGAGCGCAACCCUUGUCUCAUGUUGCCAGCGGGUAAUGCCGGGGACUCGUGAGAGACUGCCGGGGUCAACUCGGAGGAAGGUGGGGAUGACGUCAAGUCAUCAUGCCCCUUAUGUCCAGGGCUUCACACAUGCUACAAUGGCCGGUACAAAGGGCUGCGAUGCCGUGAGGUGGAGCGAAUCCUUUAAAGCCGGUCUCAGUUCGGAUCGGGGUCUGCAACUCGACCCCGUGAAGUCGGAGUCGCUAGUAAUCGCAGAUCAGCAACGCUGCGGUGAAUACGUUCCCGGGCCU
rnacentral:rRNA from 1 species